UACGUAGGGCGCAAGCGUUGUCCGGAAUUAUUGGGCGUAAAGAGCUCGUAGGCGGUCUGUCGCGUCGAAUGUGAAAACCCGGGGCUCAACCCCGGGCCUGCAUUCGAUACGGGCAGACUAGAGUUCGGUAGGGGAGUCUGGAAUUCCUGGUGUAGUGGUGAAAUGCGCAGAUAUCAGGAGGAACACCGGUGGCGAAGGCGGGACUCUGGGCCGAUACUGACGCUGAGGAGCGAAAGCGUGGGGAGCGAACAGG
rnacentral:rRNA from 1 species